UGGGGAAUAUUGCACAAUGGGCGAAAGCCUGAUGCAGCAACGCCGCGUGAAGGAUGAAGGCCUUUGGGUCGUAAACUUCUGUUCUAAGGGAAGAUAAUGACGGUACCUUAGGAGCAAGUCCCGGCUAACUACGUGCCAGCAGCCGCGGUAAUACGUAGGGGGCGAGCGUUAUCCGGAAUUAUUGGGCGUAAAGAGUACGUAGGUGGUUUCCUAAGCAGGGGGUCUAAGGCUAUGGCUUAACCAUAGUUCGCCCCCUGAACUGGGUAACUUGAGUGCAGGAGAGGAAAGCGGAAUUCCUAGUGUAGCGGUGAAAUGCGUAGAUAUUAGGAGGAACACCAGUGGCGAAGGCGGCUUUCUGGACUGUAACUGACACUGAGGUACGAAAGCGUGGGGAGCAAACAGG
rnacentral:rRNA from 2 species